UCUUCCGUAGUAUAGCGGUCAGUAUGUGAGCUUGUCAUUAAAUGUCAUCGCUCGACGCCCGGGUUCAAUUCCCGGCGGGGGAG